UUGUCAGGUUGGAUAAUCCUUACCUGUUCCUCUAUUCAGAGGGGAGAUAGAACAUGAUAAUUGGAGUUCGCAUGAUUUGUGAUUAAGGUCUCUAUGAUAUUAGGGCUCACAACACCUAAUAGCUCCUACCCGAU